rnacentral:rRNA from 1 species
UACGGAGGGGGCUAGCGUUGUUCGGAAUUACUGGGCGUAAAGCGCACGUAGGCGGCUUUGCAAGUCAGAGGUGAAAGCCCGGGGCUCAACCCCGGAAUUGCCUUUGAGACUGCAUCGCUAGAACGUCGGAGAGGUGAGUGGAAUUCCGAGUGUAGAGGUGAAAUUCGUAGAUAUUCGGAAGAACACCAGUGGCGAAGGCGACUUACUGGACACAUAUUGACGCUGAGGUGCGAAAGCGUGGGGAGCAAACAGG